AGACAUAGAGAGUAGAAGCAUGAUGACUGGAUUUUUAGGCUCAUCUGUGAGAUGUGCCUCUCUCAAACCUUGUUAUGGCCUUACUGGGGCAUUACUCAACAGACG